CAGUAGCCACGGGAAUACGGAGGGAGCUAGCGUUGUUCGGAAUUACUGGGAGUAAAGCGCGCGUAGGCGGUUACUCAAGUCAGAGGUGAAAGCCCGGGGCUCAACCCCGGAACUGCCUUUGAAACUAGGUGACUAGAAUCUUGGAGAGGUCAGUGGAAUUCCGAGUGUAGAGGUGAAAUUCGUAGAUAUUCGGAAGAACACCAGUGGCGAAGGCGACUGACUGGACAAGUAUUGACGCUGAGGUGCGAAAGCGUGGGGAGCAAACAGGAUUAGAUACCCGGGUAGUCCCUGUCUCUUAUAC
rnacentral:rRNA from 1 species